AACGCUAGCUACAGGCUUAACACAUGCAAGUCGAGGGGAAACGACAUCGAAAGCUUGCUUUUGAUGGGCGUCGACCGGCGCACGGGUGAGUAACGCGUAUCCAACCUGCCCACCACUUGGGGAUAACCUUGCGAAAGUAAGACUAAUACCCGAUGAUAUCCCUAGACGACAUCUGAAAGGGAUUAAAGAUUUAUCGGUGAUGGAUGGGGAUGCGUCUGAUUAGCUUGUUGGCGGGGUAACGGCUCACCAAGGCGACGAUCAGUAGGGGUUCUGAGAGGAAGGUCCCCCACAUUGGAACUGAGACACGGUCCAAACUCCUACGGGAGGCAGCAGUGAGGAAUAUUGGUCAAUGGACGGAAGUCUGAACCAGCCAAGUAGCGUGCAGGAAGACGGCCCUAUGGGUUGUAAACUGCUUUUAUGUGGGAAUAAAGUGAGGGACGUGUCCCUUUUUGUAGGUACCACAUGAAUAAGGACCGGCUAAUUCCGUGCCAGCAGCCGCGGUAAUACGGAAGGUCCGGGCGUUAUCCGGAUUUAUUGGGUUUAAAGGGAGCGUAGGCCGUCUUUUAAGCGUGUUGUGAAAUGCCGCGGCUCAACCGUGGCACUGCAGCGCGAACUGGAGGACUUGAGUGCGCAGGAGGUAGGCGGAAUUCGUGGUGUAGCGGUGAAAUGCUUAGAUAUCACGAAGAACUCCGAUUG
rnacentral:rRNA from 1 species